rnacentral:rRNA from 1 species
CUACGGGAGGCAGCAGUGGGGAAUAUUGCACAAUGGGCGCAAGCCUGAUGCAGCCAUGCCGCGUGUAUGAAGAAGGCCUUCGGGUUGUAAAGUACUUUCAGCGGGGAGGAAGGGAGUAAAGUUAAUACCUUUGCUCAUUGACGUUACCCGCAGAAGAAGCACCGGCGAACUCCGUGCCAGCAGCCGCGGUAAUACGGAGGGUGCAAGCGUUAAUCGGAAUUACUGGGCGUAAAGCGCACGCAGGCGGUUUGUUAAGUCAGAUGUGAAAUCCCCGGGCUCAACCUGGGAACUGCAUCUGAUACUGGCAAGCUUGAGUCUCGUAGAGGGGGGUAGAAUUCCAGGUGUAGCGGUGAAAUGCGUAGAGAUCUGGGGGAAUACCGGUGGCGAAGGCGGCCCCCUGGACGAAGACUGACGCUCAGGUGCGAAAGCGUGGGGAGCAAACAGGAUUAGAUACCCGAGUAGUC